rnacentral:lncRNA from 1 species
UUGUUUCCUUUUCAAAGGCAGUCGCAAAGCACAUUCAUUCUGUAAUCUAAACCUCCACUCUGUUUCAGUCUGUUGAAAGACUGCAACUUGUUAGGUUUGGUGGAAGCAGAAAAAGAGAUGAAGGAAGGGUAUAGGAAAUGUUUUACCUACCUUGCUGCUAUUAAAUAAACCACUCCUGUUACCCAAGCUGUUUUGGACUUGGAAACAUACAUUAUUACUAUCUGUUAUUUACUGACGAUGUGAUCAGAGCUGCACAAGGCACAAGGCGAUACAAUCCCAGCUCUGAAUACCUUAGAAAAUUAAAUGAGAGGCAAAGAAGACAGGGUGCACUGAGAACCCCAGAAGAAAGGGAUCAUUUGAGUGGCUUCCUCUCCCUGGUGAUGUGGAUGCCAGCUGCUUUGGGAUGGGGAAGAGGAGGGGAAAGAAAAUGCCUUCAUAAAGGACAUUGGUCUACAUGUGCAAUACUCAGCAAUUAGAAUCCCCAUGUGUGUGAAUAUGGGCUAACACAUCAGCACAUUUCUAUUUUGAAAUGAAGAGCAGCAGGUACAUUUUGACACAAAUUCAAAUCAAACGUGUGCCUUUGAUAUCAUAUUGGCAAAACUCUAUCAUAUGCUUUGCUAAUCUAGUGUGCCGAGUCUCCUAUGCUUAUGUUUUUUGGAAUUAAAUUGCAUGACUGUGCUUUGCUCUGUAAAAUGUGUAAAUGUGUAAAUUAUGUCAGGACAGAUUGCAAAUGCAAGUUGAAGAAAUAAA